AUUGUACUCCCUCCGUCCAACAAAAGAUAUCUCGACUUUGACCAAAUUUGAAUGCAUCUAUACACUAAGUCAUGUUUGGAUACAUCCAAAUUUUGACAAACUUGAGACAUCUUUUGUUGUAUGGGGGGAGUAUCUC
rfam:Brachypodium distachyon strain Bd21 chromosome 1, whole genome shotgun sequence.